AUUGAACGCUGGCGGCAGGCCUAACACAUACAAGUCGAGCGGAUGAAGGGAGCUUGCUCCUGGAUUCAGCGGCGGACGGGUGAGUAAUGCCUAGGAAUCUGCCUGGUAGUGGGGGAUAACGUCCGGAAACGGGCGCUAAUACCGCAUACGUCCUGAGGGAGAAAGUGGGGGAUCUUCGGACCUCACGCUAUCAGAUGAGCCUAGGUCGGAUUAGCUAGUUGGUGGGGUAAAGGCCUACCAAGGCGACGAUCCGUAACUGGUCUGAGAGGAUGAUCAGUCACACUGGAACUGAGACACGGUCCAGACUCCUACGGGAGGCAGCAGCGGGGAAUAUUGGACAAUGGGCGAAAGCCUGAUCCAGCCAUGCCGCGUGUGUGAAGAAGGUCUUCGGAUUGUAAAGCACUUUAAGUUGGGAGGAAGGGCAGUAAGUUAAUACCUUGCUGUUUUGACGUUACCAACAGAAUAAGCACCGGCUAACUUCGUG
rnacentral:rRNA from 1 species